rnacentral:rRNA from 1 species
AUUGAACGCUGGCGGCAUGCCUUACACAUGCAAGUCGAGCGGUAACAGGUCUUUCGGGAUGCUGACGAGUGGCGAACGGGUGAGUAAUACAUCGGAACGUGCCUAGUAGUGGGGGAUAACUACUCGAAAGAGUGGCUAAUACCGCAUGAGAUCUAUGGAUGAAAGCAGGGGACCUUUGGGCCUUGUGCUACUAGAGCGGCCGAUGGCAGAUUAGGUAGUUGGUGGGAUAAAAGCUUACCAAGCCUACGAUCUGUAGCUGGUCUGAGAGGACGAUCAGCCACACUGGGACUGAGACACGGCCCAGACUCCUACGGGAGGCAGCAGUGGGGAAUUUUGGACAAUGGGCGCAAGCCUGAUCCAGCAAUGCCGCGUGCAGGAUGAAGGCCUUCGGGUUGUAAACUGCUUUUGUACGGAACGAAAAGUCUUGGGUUAAUACCCUGGGAUCAUGACGGUACCGUAAGAAUAAGCACCGGCUAACUACGUG